AUUCUUUUUUAGCCAACACCUAUUCCUGCUCCAUCGGCCCAACGUACAGAGAAGCGGCCGAUACAAACCGACUCUCCAAUUCAAUCGCCGCAGUAAAAACGACGUAAAACUUUUGCAAUUAAAAUUCGUUCUCAACCUUCCUUUGCUCCAACCGAGAAUUUACCUCCAGCAGAGGUUCCUUUGGCUGUAACUUCAGCUAAGGAACUGGCUUCUGUUCAGCCAGCUGAUCAAAUAUCGAUCGAGGUAAAUCCUCAGUCUAUCUUAAUCAAUUCUUCUUCUUCUCAUUCCUCAACCAGAUCACCUACAUUAUAUGCAAUUUCUGAUGUCGAAAGGCAAGCUCGUCGGGCAACUCGUCUCGACAAGAAGCAAAAAGAAGAGAGAAAAUGAGCGAAAAAGCAGAAGAAAGUUGCAGAAAAGCAGAAAAGAGGAAAAGAAGAAAAUCAAAAGAAGAAAGAGAAGGAGAAAAAGAAAAAUAGAGAAAUUCAGAGAAGGCAAGAAGAAGAAGAAGAGUGGAUUGCAAGAGAAAAAGAACAAAGGAGAAAGGAAGAAGAAUGUAAAAGGAAAGAAGAAGAAAGAAAGGAAGAGGAAGACAGGAAGAAAAAGAGAGGAGAUUAAAGUAAUAGAAGAAAUGGGUGUAGACUUUCUUGUCGAAC
rnacentral:lncRNA from 1 species